UCUUAGGUCUUUGGAAAAAUGGGCCUUUUGAAGAUUAAGUGCUUUACAUAAGAGCAAAUGCAUUUCCCCCAUUCUCUCUGCUGCUGCUGAUGUUGUUGCUUUUUUUCUCCCCCGCAAUUGAUAUCUACAGAAGGCGGAGUGAGGAAAUCCUUUUUAGUCCACAUGAAUAUCAAACUACCCUUUGGUUUGAUGACUAUCUCUACUUUCAGCUGUUGGAGAUGCUGGGAGACCCUCACUCCUUAACAAAGCUUCCUGAGCAAACCCCCAGUGUUGAUUUCAAGUAUUCUCAAAUUGAUCAUCUGCUAUUCAUGCUCUCAGUUAGCUUGAUGGAUGGAUUUUUAAGAGACUGAGAAAGUGUUCUCUAGGAAAAGGUUUAUGUGAUGUGUUCUUGGAUGGAAAACUAGUCAAUAGACUGGGUUAUGUUUCAGUUUAAAGGAAAUAUACUUUCGAAGUCUAGAUGAUGAGCUGGUUUGCUCAUUUUCACAGUUUGGAGUUUUCCUUCAUGUGUGAGGACUAGGUGAGCACCCUUUAUUAGAUGCUACUGUCAACUACUACCAACCAGCCGCCCACAUGUCUUGUAUGACUGGAUUCUGGAAGGAUAACUCAGAGUCUAAACUGGAACUGGUUACUGACCUACUUGAGGCAAAGGAAAUUUCUAAUGGCUACAUAUACGUCUGUUCACCCUGAAACUUGGAAAAAUCCACUCACAAUUCAUGAAGAAUGCAAAAGAUGGCACCAAGAGUCUUCAUGGCCAGCUCUUAACAAUGGCAGGAAGUGGACCACUCAAGAUGAUGGCUCCUUAAAUUUCCUUAGCUAGACCUAUUAUCUGAAAGAUACAUUUCUCUACAAAUUACAUAGAAAAUUAGGUCUCAGAAUUUAAAAACUUUGGUUCUAGGUUUUGCUGCUAACAUCUUGUAUGUCCUUGGACACAAGUGACCAUUAAAAAGAAAUAAUUAUUCCUAACUUAUUGACCAUAGAAAGCUAUUCUGUACAAUAAUACAUGCAAAAUACUUUUAAGCAAUCAAAAUAUAUUAUUUGAAUGUAAAGUAUUAUUUCUAUUUUUAAUAAUGGUAAAUAAAAUAUUCCUAUAUGAUAAUGGUAGUUAUAGUAUUAUAAGCAUACAAGAAAUACAAGGAGUAUUACAAGCAUAAUUUACAAGUAAAGCACUUUAU